AUACGGAGGGUGCAAGCGUUACUCGGAAUCACUGGGCGUAAAGCGCGCGCAGGCGGCUUGAUAAGUUGGAUGUGAAAGCCUACGUCUCAACCGUAGAACUGCAUCCAAAACUGUCAAGCUAGAGUCUGCGAGGGGAAGAUGGAAUUAGUUGUGUAGGGGUAAAAUCCGUAGAGAUAACUAGGAAUACCAAAAGCGAAGGCAAUCUUCUGGAACACUACUGACGCUGAGGCGCGAAAGCGUGGGGAGCAAACAGGAUUAGAAACCCCAGUAGUCC
rnacentral:rRNA from 1 species